rnacentral:rRNA from 1 species
UCAGGUUGAUCCUGCCGGACCUGACUGCUAUCUGAUUGGUACUAAGCCAUGCGAGUCAUUGUACAAUACAAGGCAGACGGCUCAGUAACACGUAGUCAACCUAACUCGUGGACGUGGAUAACCUCGGGAAACUGAGAAUAAACCACGAUAGAUCAUUAUGCCUGGAAUGGCUUAUGGUCCAAANNUAGUUUACUGCCAUGGGAUGGGACUGCGGCCUAANUUCCAGNNCUUGNUUGGUGAGGUAAUGGCCCACCAAGCUAUAACAGGUACGGNGCUCUGAGAGGAGAAGCCCGGAGAUGGGUACUGAGACACGGACCCAGGCCCUAUGGGGCGNCAGCAGGCGAGAAACCUUAGCAAUGUGCGAAAGCACGACUGGGUCAGUCCGANGUGAUUCCUGAUAAAGGAGUCUUUUGCUUGUCCUAAAAGCACAGGUGAAUAAGGGGUGGGCAAAGUCUGGGUGUCAGCCGCCGCGGUAAUACCAGCACCUCGAGUGGUCAGGACGUUUAUUGGGCCUAAAGCAUCCGUAGCCGGCUCUGCAAGUCUUCGGUUAAAUCCACCUGCUCAACAGAUUGGGG